rnacentral:lncRNA from 1 species
UUUCAAAGUUUAAACAAUGAUGAGUCAUUUAAUUUUAAGACCAAAAUAACACCAUAUAUUAUAAACUAUAAUAUCAGAACAAAUUUAAUGUUAUAAAAACAGAGUUUACAAAUGUAUUGCAAAACAUAAAUGUUGUAAUUAGUAUGUUGUAAGGCUUGUUUUUCUUUACGGAAUGCUAAGAGUCGCCAGCUUUGACCAUUUUCCUCCUCCACAAGUUGGAUAUCUUUCCUCUCUCUUG